GACGAACGCUGGCGGCGUGCUUAACACAUGCAAGUCGAACGGAAAGGCCCUGCUUUUGUGGGGUGCUCGAGUGGCGAACGGGUGAGUAACACGUGAGUAACCUGCCCUUGACUUUGGGAUAACUUCAGGAAACUGGGGCUAAUACCGGAUAGGAGCUCCUGCUGCAUGGUGGGGGUUGGAAAGUUUCGGCGGUUGGGGAUGGACUCGCGGCUUGUCAGCUUGUUGGUGGGGUAGUGGCUUACCAAGGCUUUGACGGGUAGCCGGCCUGAGAGGGUGACCGGCCACAUUGGGACUGAGAUACGGCCCAGACUCCUACGGGAGGCAGCAGUGGGGAAUAUUGCACAAUGGGCGGAAGCCUGAUGCAGCAACGCCGCGUGCGGGAUGACGGCCUUCGGGUUGUAAACCGCUUUCGCCUGUGACGAAGCGUGAGUGACGGUAAUGGGUAAAGAAGCACCGGCUAACUACGUG
rnacentral:rRNA from 1 species